rnacentral:rRNA from 1 species
CCUACGGGGGGCAUCAGUCGAGAAUCAUUCACAAUGGGGGAAACCCUGAUGGUGCGACGCCGCGUGGGGGAAUGAAGGUCUUCGGAUUGUAAACCCCUGUCAUGUGGGAGCAAAUUAAAAAGAUAGUACCACACGAGGAAGAGACGGCUAACUCUGUGCCAGCAGCCGCGGUAAUACAGAGGUCUCAAGCGUUGUUCGGAAUCACUGGGCGUAAAGCGUGCGUAGGCUGUUUCGUAAGUCGUGUGUGAAAGGCGCGGGCUCAACCCGCGGACGGCACAUGAUACUGCGAGACUAGAGUAAUGGAGGGGGAACCGGAAUUCUCGGGGUAGCAGUGAAAUGCGUAGAUAUCGAGAGGAACACUCGUGGCGAAGGCGGGUUCCUGGACAUUAACUGACGCUGAGGCACGAAGGCCAGGGGAGCGAAAGGGAUUAGAUACCCGGGUAGUC